rnacentral:rRNA from 1 species
GUCGAACGGAAAGGCCCUGCUUGCAGGGUACUCGAGUGGCGAACGGGUGAGUAACACGUGGGUGAUCUGCCCUGCACUUCGGGAUAAGCUUGGGAAACUGGGUCUAAUACCGGAUAGGAGCCAUCUUUAGUGUGGUGGUUGGAAAGUUUUUUCGGUGUAGGAUGAGCUCGCGGCCUAUCAGCUUGUUGGUGGGGUAAUGGCCUACCAAGGCGGCGACGGGUAGCCGGCCUGAGAGGGUGUACGGCCACAUUGGGACUGAGAUACGGCCCAGACUCCUACGGGAGGCAGCAGUGGGGAAUAUUGCACAAUGGGCGCAAGCCUGAUGCAGCGACGCCGCGUGGGGGAUGAAGGCCUUCGGGUUGUAAACUCCUUUCGCUAGGGACGAAGCUUUGUGUGACGGUACCUAGAUAAGAAGCACCGGCUAACUACGUGCCAGCAGCCGCGGUAAUACGUAGGGUGCGAGCGUUGUCCGGAAUUACUGGGCGUAAAGAGCUCGUAGGUGGUUUGUCGCGUCGUCUGUGAAAUUCUGGGGCUUAACUCCGGGCGUGCAGGCGAUACGGGCAUAACUUGAGUGCUGUAGGGGUAACCGGAAUUCCUGGUGUAGCGGUGAAAUGCGCAGAUAUCAGGAGGAACACCGAUGGCAAAGGCAGGUUACUGGGCAGUUACUGACGCUGAGGAGCGAAAGCAUGGGUAGC